UACGUAGGUGGCAGGCGUUGUCCGGAUUUACUGGGCGUAAAGAGCUCGUAGGCGGCCUGUUGCGUCCGCUGUGAAAGCCCGGGGCUUAACCCCGGGUCGGCAGUGGAUACGGGCAGGCUAGAGGUAGGUAGGGGAGAAUGGAAUUCCCGGUGUAGCGGUGAAAUGCGCAGAUAUCGGGAGGAACACCGGUGGCGAAGGCGGUUCUCUGGGCCUUACCUGACGCUGAGGAGCGAAAGCGUGGGGAGCGAACAGG
rnacentral:rRNA from 1 species